GGAGUAAGAAAAAUGCACACCCAGGCAUGACUGGCAGAAAAGUCAAUGGGCAAUUACUCACGAAGGCUGUUGAGGAACAAACAAGAAUGAAUGGGCCCACAUCUAAACUAGAAGUUAAGCUAAAACAUAUGGAGGAAACCCACUCCCCCCUUUUUUAAAAAAUAUUCACUUAAAGGCUGGAACAGUCUACACAAAGAGGCCAUGCAUCUCCCUUAGAGGAAGAUGUUGAGAACAGUUUAGACUGCCUCGUGGCUGCUUCACCAAGCUUGAUCCUAUGCCUCUGCCCAUCACAUCUGCUUUUCAGUAAAGCUGUGGGGGAGGCAAGUUGUCCCCUUGGACCUUUAAACACAAUCUGUCUACGGGUUUUGCAUUUUUUUUUUCCUAGCAGAGUGAGAUUUUCAUGUUUGUUUUGCAAAGAAAAGGUUUAGUAGGUUUCUUUUCUUUCUUUCUCUUUUUCUUUUGCAAUAAACUAUUGAACAAGAUGUACAUAAUUUCACCCCAGGUUUUAACCGCUCCCAGAUUUGGAUGCUGUGUGUCUUGACGUAGCCUUUAGCGAGUUAGGAUGGAUCUGAAAGGUCAGAAUGUGCCUGAACUUUUGACUCUUCCCUUCAGCUCACUCACUGUUGUGUCUGCAUUGUUUUAAUCUUAAAAAUGGAAAACCAGCAGCAAUUCUUUCACCAUAUCUUGUGCAGAGAGACUUUUCCCCUCUUUAUAGACCAUGCCGCCAUCCAAAAGCUUGAAAAACACCCCAGGAAACCAUCACGUCAUUUGACAGGACUAAUCGCCACACACAACUUGCAUUUCCUUCCUGGACGUCAUGGGCCACAGUGCCGUAGUUCCCACGUUAUUUCUGUCGUUGUCCCCAGAACUGUAACUCUUGAUCCUGAGCCUGGGCAGGACAGCUUGUCUCAGCAUGAACUCUUAUGGUGAAGACCCCCACUCUUUGGACCCUCCUACAUGUUCCUGCAUCCUGGGAGGGUGGAGGCCGCUCUGCCUCCUUGUGCCAGCAGAACAGCUCAAUGAGAGACACAUGUGUGCAGAGAAGGGGGGAAUUUGGCUUCUAGGGUCCACUGCACACUCAAAACCAAGGCUGCUGCGGUAACUCCCUUCAUAAAUCUUGACUUUUAACUACAAAUUAUUUAGACUAUCUGGUUUCACUUCCUUCUCUUCUCCCGUCAGAUUCAAAGAAUCUUAGACUUAAGAGAAACAUUGAGUCUGAAUUAAACUCCAUUAUAAACUUGA